CUUUCUUUUCUCUGUCUCUGAUAUCUUAUAGAGCUCUUUAUAUCAUUUGGUUUUCUGCAGGAAAAUUGUUCCUUUGAGCAUCAGAAUCAUUUGUAUAACCCUUUAUAUAUAUAGUAUCCAUAAAUUUCUCAAAACUUAUCUUUGUAGCUUUCUUCUUUUGACUUGAAGAACCAACUCACAAAUUUCUAAUAUUUCUUCAAUAAAAGUCUUAAUCCGUCACGUUUAAAUCCAAUCCCAUCCCUUCCCUUCCUCCCACAGAUCAUCAUUUCCA
rnacentral:lncRNA from 1 species